rnacentral:rRNA from 1 species
UAAGACGUAGGGGGCUAGCGUUGUCCGGAUUUACUGGGCGUAAAGCGCGUGCAGGCGGUUCGUUAAGUCCCGUGUUAAAGCCUCCAGCUCAACUGGAGAACGCCGCGGGAUACUGGCGAGCUUGAGGGCGGUAGAGGGUGAUGGAAUUCCCGGUGUAGCGGUGAAAUGCGUAGAUAUCGGGAGGAACGCCAGUGGCGAAGGCGGUCACCUGGGCCGUCCCUGACGCUGAGACGCGAAAGCUGGGGGAGCGAACGGGAUUAGAUACCCCGGUAGUCCCAGCUGUAAACGAUGCUCACUAGGUGUUGGGGGGUUACUCCCUCAGUGCCGCAGCUAACGCAUUAAGUGAGCCGCCUGGGGAGUACGGCCGCAAGGUUG